rnacentral:tRNA from 1 species
AGUGGUUAAGCACUCAGCUGCUAAUUGAAAGGUUGGUGGUUCAAAUCCACCAGUCACUC